ensembl:lncRNA
CUCAGAAACAUGCGUGCUAUGUUCCUGUUUGUCAACUUCUGUCUGCACUUGCAUUAAUACAGGGUUUUGAAUGAUUUAAUUAAAUAUAUUGUCAUAAUGCUAAUUUCACCAAUGAGCCAAUGAUGAUACGAAAGAAACGAACCCUAAUACAGUUCUGGAAAAACAUCCUAUGGACAAAUGAGGCGGCAGGUAUCUUAGUGGUUGCUGGAUUGAAUCCCUGGGCUGACAAGCCUUUCCUGCUGAGGCUAGAGUCAGUGAGGCCCACCCGGGGCAUGAAGAAGGCAGAGAAGCUGGCAGACUACCAGUGCCAGGCCGGAUACCUGGGCAUCGCCACCACGCUCUCUGCCAUAGACAGAUCGCCCUCCAAUAUGGAACGGACCUCCAGCAGAACGUCAGCAGGAAAGAUGCCCAGGCCUGGCAGUACCAACCACCACCACAGUGCCAGGGCAUCAUAUGCCAUCGCUAUCGCCGCCACACCCCUACCCAGGCAUGCCAGUGCGGCAGCGUCCCGGCAACCUGGUCCUGAGAGCUGUGCUCAGGGAGGAGCACCAUUCCCCAACUCCCCACCUUACCAAGACCUUACCAAUAAGGCAAUUACUUGCCCCUAAACACUGAUCCAAGGUCAGUUUGACAUUCUUCCCCCAGAUGGUUAUGUUGAGUUUGUUAGGAGUGUCCCUCACAAUGAAGGAUCUGUGUCAGAGAGGUGCGAAGCCGGAAAGUGGUCACACUUUGUCGAAACUAAAUCUCCAUUGUGCUCUGAUCAUGCACUUGUCCAGUGAUUCUGUUUUAGCACACAAUACUCGUAAAUAAAGGGAUCUGACACUGAUUGGCUGUUUCCCAGAUGUAGAAUAAGCCUUGAAGAACUUUCAAUUGAACUUUUUAUUUAUUUAUUUUUCCUUGGAGAAUACUUUUUAGUCCAGGAGUACGUUUAAGUUGGGUCCGGGAAACCAGUCCUAUAUGAUGUAAGAAUGAUAUUGUGUUGCCGUUAUACAACCGUUCUCAUAAAACUGUGUCACUAUUGCUACCCAGGACCAAUUCUAGCUGCUAUAAAGUAUUGUGAACUGUACUUCUGUUGUAAUGGAAGAUAUAGCCUGGCUAUAUCUUGUCACAACAGAACUGACUGGCUCAAACGUAGGAAAGCAAUUCCACAAAUUAACAUUUAAGAAGACACACCUGUUAAUUGUAAUGCAUUCCAUUUUUUGGUUACUACAUGAUUCCAUAUGUGUUAUUUCAUAGUUUUGAUUUCUUCACUAUUAUUCUACAAUGUAGAAAAUAGUAAAAAUAAAGAAAAAGCCUUGAAUGAGUAGGUGUUCUUAAACGUUUGACCGGUAGCUAAUAUGGUUCAGGUAUAAUAAAAAAAAAAAUAUAUAUAAUUUUGUCAGCUUAGCAGGUGGUGUAACGCUCGUCGUUGGGAGAGAGAGAGGAGGACCAAGGUGCAACGUGGUGGUAAGUAUUCAGAGUCUCUUUUAUUGAAAACGAAUACUUGCACAAAAACAACUAAACGAAACGAGAACGAAACGAAAACAGUCCUGAAUGGUGAAAUACAAACACAGAACAGAAAAUAAACACCCACGCAACACAGGUGGAAAAAGGCUACCGAAGUAUGAUUCUCAAUCAGAGACAACUAACGACACCUGCCUCUGAUUGAGAACCAUACCAGGCCAACCUCAAAAACCAACAUAGAAAAACCAACAUAGACAACCCACCCAACUCACGCCCUGACCAUACUAAAACAAAGACCUAAAUAAAAGAACUAAGGUCAGAACGUGACAGGUGGUGCCUAUCAAUAUGCUUAGUGAAUAGAGGAAGUACUAUGUAUGCCAUGCUGUAUUUCCACUCUUGUGAAAUUUGUUCAAGUGGAACUUUUCAUCAAUGUUUCUGUUAUUGUUGUGUGUCACACCCUGACCAUAGUUUACUUUGUAUAUUUCUAUGUUUUGGUUGGUCAGGGUGUGAGCUGAGUGGGCAUUCUAUGUUUCAUGUCUAGUUUGUCUAUUUCUAUGUCUGGCCUGAUAUGGUUCUCAAUCAGAGGCAGGUGUUAGUCAUUGUCUCUGAUUGGGAACCAUAUUUAGGUAGCAUGGGUUUCACUGUGUGUUUGUGGGGGAUUGUUCCUGUAUCUGUGUUUUCACCAGAUAGGGCUGUUUUUGUAUUGAUUCGUGUUUUACGUUUGUUGAUUAAACAUGGAUCGCAAUCUACACGCCGCAUUUUGGUCCGACUCUCCUUCACCAAAAGAGAACCGUUACAUUAUGAUGAAUAAUGAGAGAGAUAUUUGUGUACUAGUAAAGCUUUUUUAGAAUAUCAUGGGAGAAUUAGUCAUACUUUUUUAUUGUGAUCCUGUGCAAAUUUCUUGAUGUUUUCCAAUAAAGCUGCUUGUUGCC